rnacentral:rRNA from 1 species
GGUGCUAGUGGCAGACGGGUGAGUAACACGUGGGAACGUACCUUUCGGUUCGGAAUAAUUCAGGGAAACUUGGACUAAUACCGGAUAAGCCCUUCGGGGGAAAGAUUUAUCGCCGAUAGAUCGGCCCGCGUCUGAUUAGCUAGUUGGUGAGGUAAUGGCUCACCAAGGCGACGAUCAGUAGCUGGUCUGAGAGGAUGAUCAGCCACAUUGGGACUGAGACACGGCCCAAACUCCUACGGGAGGCAGCAGUGGGGAAUAUUGGACAAUGGGCGCAAGCCUGAUCCAGCCAUGCCGCGUGAGUGAUGAAGGCCUUAGGGUUGUAAAGCUCUUUUGUCCGGGAAGAUAAUGACUGUACCGGAAGAAUAAGCCCCGGCUAACUUCGUGCCAGCAGCCGCGGUAAUACGAAGGGGGCUAGCGUUGCUCGGAAUCACUGGGCGUAAAGGGCGCGUAGGCGGACUCUUAAGUCGGGGGUGAAAGCCCAGGGCUCAACCCUGGAAUUGCCUUCGAUACUGAGAGUCUUGAGUUCGGAAGAGGUUGGUGGAACUGCGAGUGUAGAGGU